AACGAUGUCGACUUGGAGGUUGUGCCCUUGAGGCGUGGCUUCCGGAGCUAACGCCUUAAGUCGACCGCCUGGGGAGUACGGCCGCAAGGUUAAAACUCAAAUGAAUUGACGGGGGCCCGCACAAGCGGUGGAGCAUGUGGUUUAAUUCGAUGCAACGCGAAGAACCUUACCUGGUCUUGACAUCCACAGAACUUUCCAGAGAUGGAUUGGUGCCUUCGGGAACUGUGAGACAGGUGCUGCAUGGCUGUCGUCAGCUCGUGUUGUGAAAUGUUGGGUUAAGUCCCGCAACGAGCGCAACCCUUAUCCUUUGUUGCCAGCGGUCCGGCCGGGAACUCAAAGGAGACUGCCAGUGAUAAACUGGAGGAAGGUGGGGAUGACGUCAAGUCAUCAUGGCCCUUACGACCAGGGCUACACACGUGCUACAAUGGCGCAUACAAAGAGAAGCGACCUCGCGAGAGCAAGCGGACCUCAUAAAGUGCGUCGUAGUCCGGAUUGGAGUCUGCAACUCGACUCCAUGAAGUCGGAAUCGCUAGUAAUCGUGGAUCAGAAUGCCACGGUGA
rnacentral:rRNA from 1 species